CUUAGGCCGGGGCUUGGGCUGGGGGUCCCGGGGCGGGGCCGGGCCGAGGGGGCCGAAGUGCGCUGCAACUCUGAGCCCCGCCCCAGAGCUGCAAAUCUAGAGUGGCGGAGGGAGCGUGCGCACACGCCCCACAGACCCUGAGUUUGGGAUGCGGAAGGUUUGGGUGCCCUCCCGGCCCCACCCGGUGCACGAGCUCACGCCGGCGGCGGACCCGGAACUGGUGCCUACAGCCGGCCAAGUGCGGGCAGGCCCUGCGCCGAGAGCGCCCAGCGAGCGGAACCUGACUUGGAGUCCCAGCGCUGCUGCUUUCUCCAGAGGGACUUGGAGCACGUCACUCCACCUGAGCUGGGUCUGAUCCUCAGAAUUCAAGAGCUUCAGGCUACCUUUUUUAUUGAGUACCUGCUGAGUACCAGGCACGAAAAGAUGACAGGUGACUUAAAGAUCCCUGCCUUGGUCGCUACCAGGAUAGUUGUGAGGAUGACAAAGCAGCAUUACCUUGGUGAAUACAAGUCGAAGGAGCUCUACACCAUCAUUGCUUGAAGGUUCUGCAGGUAUCUGAAGUUUGGACAAAGAUCACAUAGCUGCUUCAGCAGAGAGCCAGAAUUUGGAUGGAGUGGAGGAAAAGGACCCACUGAAGCAAGAUUUCCUAGGGCCUUGAAGUCAAGGCCCUUAGUCCAGGCUCCUGCUUACCAACUCUGUGAACCCAGGUGACCACUUUGAGACAGGAUGUCUGCAUGGAUUCAGGCAAGUUACUCUCUGUGCCUCAGGUCCAUCCUCUGUGAAAUGGGAAGCAUGAACAGCAUAUGUGCUUUAUUGGCCCUGAGGUGCUAGAGUGAUGGUGCAUGUCACCUUCCCAUUGUGCCUGAGGCUCAGCAAGGAUUCUGUGCUACGAGCCACAUCUGACCUCUUCCUUCCAGCAGCAGCAAGGCCUGGACUAUCUCUGAGGGCUGGCUGGCUGACAACUCCCGGGUCACAGCACCUCAUCAGGCACACCAGCCAUUCCACAGCAUCUUCGCAGCAGCCUCUGGAGAGAUUCUGACAUAUUCUUCAGCUGACCAGGCGAGAUCCCCACUUAUAAAAGCUUCCAGACCUCUGCAGUCAUUUCCCCCCUCUUCA
rnacentral:lncRNA from 1 species